GGGAGACUGUGCUGAUUGAUGGUUUUCUUUGUAACUUGUUUCUGCAAGAGUGUCCAAGGUAAGCACAGGAUUAGAUGGCCCAUUAAAACAACAUCCAGCCGAAGGCACCAUCUGAAGACUUGUGGCCCAAUGGAGGGAGCCAUUCUGGAGUCAAAACUUUUCCCUUAGUGGUGGCAUACUAAAAAUCACUGAUAUGUGGAUAUGCUUAGGGAUAAUGUUAUUUUAAGUUAGAAAAAAUAAAAUUAUGUGCAAAGCCUGGAAGAUGUUCAAAACGUUUUGAAGCCCAUCUCAAUGAAUAAAUAUACUCAUUCAAGUAAAACUUUUAUGUAUAAAAAAAUGUAAGUAUUAAAUCUCACCUAUGAAAUUAUAAUGAAGUUUUUAAUAUCUUCCUUUCCUUUGUCUGGCUAAAAUCUGCAAGAACAAAACGAACAACUCCACACCAGGAAGGAGGGUGUGAAGAUGAAUUUUCCAUUGGAAGUGCACCAGCCUCUCUGGGGUGGUACUUGCUGCUCCCAACGGCCUUCGUGGUCACAUCUGGGGAUUUAGACACAGUAGACUGACUGUGUUUUCUUUGGGGAAUUGUUAAUUGUUAGUUUAAUGAAAAGCCUGCAAUAUUCCAUCAGGUCUCUUUGGGAUUGUUCAGGGUCAGUGAUUGAUUGUGUUGUAUUUUAAGGUAUAUGUGGCUUGCCAGUCGAUGCUUAUUGUGCUCGUGGGAGCUGUGCCCAGGUACCACAUAGACCAGGAGGGAAUUCCAGCGAGCAAAGCUGAGCUUGCCAAGCACAUCCGUUUUGCCAGCAACUUCACAUCCAUCGUCACUGAGUGGUACCUAAUUGACCGAGAAACCUACAAAGUAAGCCUUGCAUCAUCCCUGUUUUUUGCUGGACUGCUCAUUGGAAAUAUCACAUUUGGCCCUUUGUCAGAUAAACUGGGCAGGAAACCAGUGUAUAUCUCAGGUCUCUUUUUUGAUGUCAUUUUUGGGUAUGUCACAGCCUUAGCUCCGAAUUAUGACAUAUUUGCGGUUUCGCGUUUUUUUGUUGGAAUCGUGAAUGGUGGAAUGGCUCUUGUGUCUUUUGUCCUAACACAAGAAUAUGUAGGAAAAUCAUUUUGGUCAUUUACAGGUUCACUAACUAAUGUGACAUUUGCAGUUGGCAUUGCUGUUUUUGCUUUGCUGGGUUACUGUAUCAGAGAGUGGCGCUACCUCGCCUUGGUGUCGAACACUCCAGGAGUUUUCUUCCUCCUCCUCUCUUUCAUGCUCCCGGAAUCUCCACGGUGGCUGUACUCCCAAGGGAAAACAGCAGAAGCUGAAGACGUGUUGCAAUAUAUUGCCCUUUGUAAUGGAAAAGAAAAAUUAAAUCUAAAAUUGAAACCAAGUGCAGGAACUCUGAGGAAGGAUGAGUCAGCACCUGGAAUCCUGAACUUGGUGAAACAGCCGGUCCUUCGGUGGCGAACCAUCCUUCUGAUGUACAUCUGGUAUGUCUGCAGCUUUGUGUACUAUGGACUAACUUUAAAUGCUGGUGAAUUAAGAGGAAAUUUGUAUUUAAAUGUGGCUCUUUCUGGUCUUGCAGAAGUUCCAGCAUUUCCUCUCUGCAUGUUUUUCAUUGAGAAAUCCUGGUCUGGAAGACGUAAAACUAUGACGUGUUUUCUGACAUUUGCAGGACUUGCCUGUGUGUUUACCAUGUUUUUACCAACAAAUGCUGGUCUCCUCCUGGGUCCCACUUUGUUAGCUCUGUGUGGAAAAAUGAUGGUCAGUGCUGCUUUCAACAUCCUGUAUAUUUAUACGUCUGAGCUGUACCCAACAGUGCUGAGAAGUCUCUCAGUCCUUCUGUACCAUUUGUGGUGUUUGGAAUCACUGGACUGUCUGCAGGAUUCCUGACUCUCCUUUUGCCAGAAACACUAAAUAAGCCAAUUGCUGAGAGCAUCGACGACCUCCAGAGCCCCAGAUACCAAGUGCUUAAAAAUGAAGAGGCAGAGCAAAGCAGUUAGAAGAAAACACUUGAGUUUGAGGCCUGUCUGGUGGAAAAUGAAGCCUCCAUUGAGAAGUUGCUAUAACAGCUGAAGGGCAAAGUGCUGCUCCCUGUGUCUGACAGGAAACAUUCCAGGACUCAUGUAUAAUGCUGUUUGUAGCAUGUUAAACAGCUCUGUGUGGAGGCACACUGAGAAGAUGGAAGGAGUUGAUCAAAGCUUGUGAGAAAAGAGCUGACAAAUCUGUGCAUUAAUUUAAUGACUUAACAAAAGCCCACUUCAGAGGUUUGGACUUCUCUACAGCUUCUUGAAGUGAAGUAUUAAUUUACUUUACAAGACGUAAUUGCCAGCUUCAGAUGAAGCUAUGAUGUUGUAAUUGAAGUGAUGUAUAAUUUAAAAUUUAGAUGACCUUAUAUUCUGUCAAGCUGGAAAUGUGAAAAAGAGCAGCAUCCUGUAUAUGCUAAUUUUCUCUACAGGUUUUUUGCCUCUAGACUACAGUGUAUACCUCACAGUGUGAAGAGACCAAAGAUCUGUGUGGGUUGUUGGCCUAAGAAACCUGAGCAGGAGAUCUGAAAGGAGAAGAAAUGGAUUCUGUUGUGGGAUACAGCAAGUUUUUGUUGGACAAGAUGACUUAAAUGAAAAAUAAUAUUAUAUUGGAAAAAUUGUCAGGACUUGAAGAGGUGCAUUUAAAGGAGAGGAUGAGUAACCUUUUAGACAAAGGUUAUUAAGUUCUAGCUGUACAUGUGGAAUGAGAAAUUAUUGAGCAUGAGUUAUAUAUUGUAUAAUAUAUGUAGUAAUAUAUAAUCCCAUAUAUUUCACCUAUCAGUUGGAAAUUCUUCUUGCAAGGGAACGGUGUUUGGUUAACAGUUAAUAUAUUUACAUUGGAAUAGAUGCAUCACAACUGUUACAGGUUUUUUUUAUGGCAAACACAACUUUGUUAUUAAAAAGACAAUUAUUUUAA